CGGGUGUUAGUUGACUAAAAGAGGAAAUAAUGACGUCAUUAAAUAUGUUAAUUUGUUCAUCCCUAAGAUCAUCCUAUAGGAUGAUGCUAUAACAAAGUACAACAGUCUGGGUGGCUUAAGUAAGAGACAUUUAUUUUUUUACAAUUAUGGAGGCUAGAUGUCCAAGAUCAAGGUGUCAGCAGGUUAGUUUCAUUCUGAGGCCUCUCUCCCGGACUUACAGAUGGCCAUCUUCUCCCUGUCUUCACAUGGUCUUCCUUCUUUCUGUGUCUGUGCCCUAAUGUCCUCUUCUUCUAAGGACACCAGUCAUAGGAUUAGGGCCCACUUCAAUGAACUCAUUUAACCUUAAUCACUUCUUUAAAGAUCCUAUCUUGAAAUACAGUCACAUUCCUAGGUAUUAGGAGUUAGGACUUCACCAGGUGAAUUUUGAGGGAACACAGUUCAGCCAAUCACAAUUAACAAUAGACAUCACACAUUGUAAGUAGUAUCUAAGUAGCUUUGGCAGUCUGCAUAACCAUUAACAACUACUCACUCACCCUUCUUUUAAGAGCAUACAUCCCCAUCUGCAAUUUGACUGGCAGCUCCAGGAGGUGGGAUCCGCAUUCAUGCUCCACUGCCCUCGGUUCAGCCAUAGUCCAGGAUGACCUUGAAGUUUUGACAGCUGGGGAAUUUUCUUGUUCGUCACUGAAGCCAAGGCCUGAGACUUUGGUGCAGAGAGCAUCCCAGAGUUGGUCAGAAGUAUUCCCCGGGCUGUGCAUUUGCCCCACACGCUCCUCGUCAUGCUGCUUGCAAGGAAGAGACAUGGAGUGACUUAAAUAUGCUUCUUCUGAAGAGACAUGAGUGCCCAGACUGGAGUAUAGUUCUUUGGUAAAACAGACAAAAACACCUGCUGAGUAGGGCAAAACAGAUCUGCUGUUUGGUGGGUCUCCACUUUUAACCACGUGGGUGCACGUCUACAGUUACAAGAACUGCUCUGUGUUUACCUUCUGUCAGAGACAACUAUCAUCUUAGUCACUGGUUCUUAUGGAAACAGCUGCCUUAACUUAGCAAAACACCUUGACAAACCACUUGGGAUA
rnacentral:lncRNA from 1 species